GAAACGACUGCUAAGACUGGAUAGGAAGAUAAAAGGCAUCUUGUAUCUUUUAAAAGACCUAGUUAAUAGGUAUGCUUUAGGAGGGGCUUGCGCCAUAUUAGUUAGUUGGUAGGGUAAUGGCCUACCAAGACGAUGAUGUGUAGCUGGACUGAGAGGUUGAACAGCCACAUUGGGACUGAGACACGGCCCAAACUCCUACGGGAGGCAGCAGUAGGGAAUUUUCGGCAAUGGAGGAAACUCUGACCGAGCAACGCCGCGUGAAUGACGAAGUACUUCGGUAUGUAAAGUUCUUUUAUCGAGGAAGAAAAGCAAAUGGCGAACCAUUUGUUUGCCGGUACUUGAUGAAUAAGCCCCGGCUAAUUAUGUGCCAGCAGCCGCGGUAAGACAUAAGGGGCAAGUGUUAUCCGGAAUUAUUGGGCGUAAAGGGUGCGUAGGCGGUCUAGUAAGUCAGUGGUGUAAUGUCAACGCUUAACGUUGUCCGGCUAUUGAAACUGCUAAACUUGAGUUAGAUAGAGGCGAGUGGAAUUCCAUGUGUAGCGGUAAAAUGCGUAAAUAUAUGGAGGAACACCAGAGGCGUAGGCGGCUCGCUGGGUCUUAACUGACGCUGAGGCACGAAAGCGUGGGGAGCAAACAGGAUUAGAUACCCUGGUAGUCCACGCCGUAAACGAUGAGUACUAAGUGUCGGGUUAAACCGGUACUGAAGUUAACACAUUAAGUACUCCGCCUGAGUAGUACGUACGCAAGUAUGAAACUUAAAGGAAUUGACGGGACUCCGCACAAGCGGUGGAUCAUGUUGUUUAAUUCGAAGAUACCCGAAAAACCUUACCAGGUCUUGACAUGUUUUUGCAAAAUGAUAGUAAUAUCGUGGAGGUUACCAGAAACACAGGUGGUGCAUGGUUGUCGUCAGCUCGUGUCGUGAGAUGUUAGGUUAAGUCCUAAAACGAGCGAAACCCUUAUCGUUAGUUGCCAGCACGUUAUGGUGGGGACUUUAACGAGACUGCCAAUGAUAAAUUGGAGGAAGGUGAGGAUCACGUCAAAUCAGCAUGCCCCUUAUGACCUGGGCUACAAACGUGAUACAAUGGCUGUUACAAAGGGUAGCUGAAACGCAAGUUCUUGGCCAAUCCCCAAAAACAGUCCCAGUCCGGAUUGAAGUCUGCAACUCGACUUCAUGAAGUUGGAAUCGCUAGUAAUCGCGAAUCAGCAUGUCGCGGUGAAUACGUUCUCGGGGUUUGUACACACCGCCCGUCA
rnacentral:rRNA from 15 species